UCAAGGAGUUUGAAAAUCUUGAAGGGCAUCCGAAAAUAUUUUUCAUCAAUUCACUAAUUGAUUCAUACACACUGUUUGCUUUUGUAUUGAAUUUCAGAUUGGUCUUCAGCUUUCAAGAAUGUUUAUUUCCAAGGAUAUGAGCAUUUUUAAAGGAUGAUUUCAUAAUUCAAAAGACAACAAAGAGUUUUAAAAAAUAAAGUUUCUUUAUAUUGCACACAGUAGCUUCUACAUUAACAAUAUUAUAUCAGGCUACCGAAUUUUUCCACCAUGCUGAUGGGUACUGAUUUUAUUAUUUAGAGAACAACAUGUGAAUUUUAUCGGAGAUUUUAUCUCAAGCAAGGGAAUCAGCGCAAUCUCAACAAACCAUUUCUCAAGGAAAAGAAUAUCCAGGAGCUUGACAGAAGUUUCAGAAUCACAAUUCAGGCAUGAAGAAAAAGCAGAAAAAGAAACU